GGGGCGUAUUCACUGAAGACAAAAUGAGACAGAAAGAAGAAGAAGGAAACAGUGCACAUUUGUCCCUGGUACUGCCAUGUCCUGCUGCUCCACAAAACUGGUGGUCUUCUUCCUUACUUGGAUCGGGCAGCUGAGCCAGGGGAACAAGGAAUUCCAGAGAUGACAUGAACACACUUGGCAUUUGGUGAUUGGCUGGCGUCCUCCUCUGAUCUCUGAGAAGAGCUGUAAAAUCCUUCACCUUUGUUAGACCUGAAACCACAUCCAUACCCUAAGCUUUAACUGUGACAAUGCCAGAUCCUUAAUCCACCGUGGCGAGCCAGGGAUCGAACCUGUGUCCCAACAAACCUGCAUCCCAGUAUUCCCAAGACACUGCUGAUCUUGUUGUGCUACAGUGGGAACUCCUGAAGAGGCUAUUUAGAUAAAGGAUCUGGAGAGGGAAGAUCAUCCUGGAUUAUGUGAAUGGGCUCUGUUUAAUCACAUGAGUCUUUAAAAGUGGAAGAGCAGAAGGCAGAAGGGUGUGUUAGAAUGAUGCUCUGUGAGAAGGACCUGCUGCCACGGGCUUUGAAGGCGGAGGCAGGGGACCAUGAGCCAAGAAACACGGCCACCUCCACAAGCGGUGCAUGGCCCUCAGCUUACAGUUGGUAAGAACUCAAGGACUGUGGUCCUAUGCCUGAAAGGGACUGAAUUCUUCCAAUAACUAGAAUGAGCAGAAAGCAUUCUUCCUCAGAGCCUCCAGGAAGGAACACAGCCUACAACUUGAUUUUAGUCUGCUGAGAACCGUGCUGAAUUCCUGACCUCCAAAUCUGCAAAAUAAUAAGUUUUUUUUGUCUUAAGCCACUAAGUUUGUAAUAAUUUGCUGUGGCAACAGUAGAAAACUAACACCCUGAGAUAGAGAUAAAAUUUGUUAAUAUCAUAUAGCCAAUAAGACUAUACCUUUUGACUUUUUUUCUCCCCAGAUAGAUGUCUACACGGUGCAUUUAACUUUGUAAAUGUAUGAUUUUUUAACUAAGAGUAAACAGCCAAGUCAAACACAAGUGUAUUACUCUAGAUAAUUAAACAAUUUUUGAGUGCAUAUGUUAAACCAUGUCCCAGUGGACAUUGAAAACACAUCCUACAUUUUUGCCUUAUUUCCAAGUUUAAUUGUUUUGUUUUUCUUUGCAGGUGAAACGGGAAAUAUCAUUUCAUUUUAUAAACAAUAAGCUCCAUAAGGGCAUCACCUUAUUUCUCUUGGCUGAUGUCAUCUUAUCACAAUACUUGACACAUAGCAGGUGCUAAAUGAAUGUUUGUUGAAUGGGUAAAGAAAUGCUUGCAACCUCAUCACUAAUUAUUUCCUCCUAUGAAAUCUGUGAUUCACCCACACUGAAUUCCUUCAGUUCUUUUAAUAUAAACCAACCAUGUUCUCUCUCACCAUGAGAUUUGUGCAUUUGCUUUUCUUUCUGCCUGGCACCUACACCCCCACUCAGCUUGGCUAACAAGCAGUCAUAUGUUAGGUCUUAGCUUAGACAUGACCCCCUCUGGGAAGUAGUGUCUUGUCACCUCAUCUUCCCACCUGUGACUCUUUCUGCUCUUAGAGCUUCUGUAUUUAAUGCCAUAGCCCUUAAUACAUUGUAUCUGUCUUGUAUGAGCCCCCAUGGAUGGUCUAAUGCAUCGAACUUUAAUAAUUUAGCAUCAGCUCCAGAGUCAGACUGCAUUGAUACACAUCCUGUCUCCACAACUGACUAGUUGUAUUAUUUUAGGUUAUUACAGAGCGAUGGAUCAGCCUUUGAAUUUCCCUGCAAGGAAUGUCCUGCUGCACGGAGCGCUGUCUGCUCUUUUGUCAUCUUUGCUGCCUCCCUCCCAACCUUCCUUCCUUGAAAAGGCCCACCUUGGCUUCCAUUUCCAAAGAAUCUUGAAGCAGCUUGCCGCCACAGCAACGUGGGAUACAAGCCACAUCUGCAACAUACAUCUCACAGCUCAAAGCAGUUCUGGAUCCCUGAGCCACUGAGUGAGGGCGGGGAUCAAACCUGAAUCCUCAUGGAUACUAGCUGGAUUUGUUUCUGCUGCACCACAAUGGGAACUCCUUGUUGCGCAUUUUUGAUAGUUGGUUUCCUUAUUUACUGGCAUUGAUUUCCUCAAAAUGAGCAUGAACUGGAGGCAAGUAAUUAAUUUAUACUUAAAGGAAAAGAAUGAAUAAAAUUAUGAAGGUAUUUCCUAGGCCUCCCACAUCCUAUAUAAAUUCUCAAGCCACAAAUGCCUUUGCAAAAUAAAAUGUCAGUCCUAAAAAACC
ensembl:lncRNA